AACGCACAUUGCGCCCUCUGGUAUUCCGGAGGGCAUGCCUGUUCGAGCGUCAUUAUCACCCCUCAAGCCCGGCUUGUUGUUGGACGUCAGGCGGUGGCACCCCCGCCCCCGCCCGUCUCAAAGGUAAUGACGGCGUCUGUGAGGACUCCUGUACACUGAGCUUUCGGGCACGUACUAGGCUAGAAACUUCAGACCCGGUCGCCGCGUCGCCCUUCGGGGAGGCGCAAAACUUUUUCACAAGGUUGACCUCGGAUCAGGUAGGAAUACCCGCUGAACUUAA
rnacentral:misc_RNA from 1 species